rnacentral:RNase_P_RNA from 1 species
UGACAUCGCAAAACGAAGCCGGGAAGGUGAUGGUGAAAGGGUGGGGUAAGAGCCCACCGGCGGUUGGAGUGAUCCGGCCGGCCAGGUAAACCUUGCGGGCUGUAAGACCAUGUAGACCGGAAAUCCGGUGUAUGCAAAUACAUCGGUGGAGGGCGGCUCGCCCGGCUCCGGAGGGUAGGUCGCAUAGAUAAAUGAUGGAAGCCUGUUGGAAACAUCAGGUACAGAACCCGGCUUACAGGUUUGCUUUUUUU